GAUGAACGCUAGCGAUAGGCUUAACACAUGCAAGUCGGGGGGCAGCAUGGUCUUAGCUUGCUAAGACUGAUGGCGACCGGCGCACGGGUGCGUAACGCGUAUGCAACUUGCCUCACAGAGGGGGAUAACCCGUCGAAAGACGGACUAAUACCGCGUACACUCCAUCUUGGGCAUCCAAGGUAGAGGAAAUGAAAUUCGCUGUGAGAUAGGCAUGCGUCCCAUUAGCUAGUUGGUGAGGUAACGGCUCACCAAGGCGACGAUGGGUAGGGGAACUGAGAGGUUGAACCCCCACACUGGUACUGAGACACGGACCAGACUCCUACGGGAGGCAGCAGUGAGGAAUAUUGGUCAAUGGGCGAGAGCCUGAACCAGCCAAGUCGCGUGAAGGAUGACUGUCUUAUGGAUUGUAAACUUCUUUUAUACGGGAAUAACAAGAGUCACGUGUGACUCCCUGCAUGUACCGUAUGAAUAAGCAUCGGCUAACUCCGUG
rnacentral:rRNA from 1 species